rnacentral:rRNA from 1 species
AUUGAACGCUGGCGGCAGGCCUAACACAUGCAAGUCGAGCGCGCGGCGGCCGUGUGAGUAAUGCCUGGGAAUUGCCCAGUCGAGGGGGAUAAACGUUGGAAACUACUUCUAAUACCGCACAAGCUUGUAUUGAACAGGGGGGUUUAGCUAGUUGGUGAGGUAAUGGCUCACCAAGGCGACGAUCCCUAGCUGGUAUGAGAGGAUGAUCAGCCAAACUGGAACUGAGACACGGGCCAGACUCCUACGGGAGGCAGCAGUGGGGAAUAUUGCACAAUGGGGGAAACCCUGAUGCAGCCAUGCCGCGUGUAUGAAGAAGGCCUUCGGGUUGUAAAGCACUUUCAGCGAGGAGGCGUUACUCGCAGAAGAAGCACCGGCUAACUCCGUGCCAGCAGCCGCGGUAAUAC